rnacentral:rRNA from 1 species
UACGAAGGGGGCUAGCGUUGUUCGGAAUUACUGGGCGUAAAGCGCGCGCAGGCGGUCUUCCAAGUCAGUGGUGAAAGCCUGGAGCUCAACUCCAGAACUGCCAUUGAAACUGUUAGACUGAGUACGAGAGAGGUGAGUGGAAUUCCCAGUGUAGAGGUGAAAUUCGUAGAUAUUGGGAAGAACACCGGUGGCGAAGGCGGCUCACUGGCUCGUAACUGACGCUCAGGCGCGACAGCGUGGGGAUCAAACAGG